rnacentral:rRNA from 1 species
GAUGAACGCUAGCGGGAGGCCUAACACAUGCAAGUCGAACGGGAUCCCCUUCGGGGGUGAGAGUGGCGCACGGGUGAGUAACGCGUAUGCAACCUGCCUGUAACAGAUGGAUAGCCCAUAGAAAUGUGGAUUAAUACAUCAUAGUUCUAUUGAGCCGCAUGGUUUUAUAGAUAAAGCUCCGGCGGUUACAGAUGGGCAUGCGUGACAUUAGCUAGUUGGUGAGGUAACGGCUCACCAAGGCGACGAUGUCUAGGGGUUCUGAGAGGAUGAUCCCCCACACUGGUACUGAGACACGGACCAGACUCCUACGGGAGGCAGCAGUGAGGAAUAUUGGUCAAUGGGCGCAAGCCUGAACCAGCCAUCCCGCGUGCAGGAUGACGGCCCUAUGGGUUGUAAACUGCUUUUAUACAGGAAGAAAAAUCUCUACGUGUAGAGACUUGCCGGUACUGUAUGAAUAAGCAUCGGCUAACUCCGUGCCAGCAGCCGCGGUAAUACGGAGGAUGCAAGCGUUAU